CUGCUCACUUGAGUAGCACAUAUACUAAAAUUGGAACAAUACAGAGAAGGUUAGCAUGGCCCCUGCACAAAGAUGACACAUGCAUUUGCGAAGUGAUCCAUAUUUUU
ensembl:snRNA U6 U6 spliceosomal RNA